CCUGGCCUUGGGCCGCUCGCGGGGGCCCGUCGCUUGCGACGGUGCUCUCGGGGGUGCUUAGCCCUUGAUCAUCACCUUGAUUAUGCGCACCUUCGUUGUUCCCUCGGCAGUUCGCUGCCGCCAGGGACCCGUAAACCCUUUUGUAUAAGCAUCAAACCUCUGAGAACAAACUUAAUUAUUUA
rnacentral:misc_RNA from 1 species